UCCCUGGAGGUCCAGUGGUUACAACUCUGCCCUUUCACUGCUGGGGCCCAGGUUCAAUCCCUGGUCAGGGAA
rnacentral:tRNA from 1 species